rnacentral:rRNA from 1 species
GCAGUAGCUUCGGCUGCUGAGUGGCGCACGGCUGAGGAACACGUGGGAACCUGCCCGACCGUGGGGGAUAACGCGCCGAAAGGCGUGCUAAUCCCGCAUACGUUCGCAAGAAGAAAGCAGCAAUGCGCGGUCGGAGGGGCCUGCGGCCCAUCAGGUAGUCGGCGGGGUAACGGCCCACCGAGCCAAUGACGGGUAGCUGGUCUGUGAGGACAGACAGCCAGACUGGGACUGAGACACGGCCCAGACUCCUACGGGAGGCAGCAGCAAGGAAUUUUCGGCAAUGGGCGCAAGCCUGACCGAGCAACGCCGCGUGGAGGAUGACGGCCUUCGGGUUGUAAACUCCUUUUCCAGGGGAUGAUGAUGACCGUACCCUGGGAAUCAGGCUCGGCUAACUCUGUGCCAGCAGCCGCGGUAAGACAGAGGAGCCAAGCGUUGUCCGGAUUGACUGGGCGUAAAGCGCACGCAGGCGGUGGGGCACGUGGGGUGUGAAAGCGGCCCGCUUAACGGGGCGAGGCCAUCCCAUACGGCCCGACUCGAGAGUGGCAGAGGUUCGUGGAAUUGCCGGUUUAGUGGUGAAAUGCGUAGAGAUCGGCAGGAACACCAAGGGGGAAACCAGCGAACUGGGCCAUAUCUGACGCUC